GACGAACGCUGGCGGCGUGCUUAACACAUGCAAGUCGAGCGGAGCGGCGAACGGGUGAGUAACGCGUGAGUAACUGCCCCCCUCUCUGGGAGAACAGUUGGAAACGGCUGCUAAUACCGGAUAGUGGGGGAUGACUCGCGUCCUAUCAGCUUGUUGGGGGGGUAGUGGCCUACCAAGGCGACGGCGGGUAGCCGGCCUGAGAGGGCGACCGGCCACCUUGGACUGGGAUACGGCCCAGACUCAGACAGCAGGCAGCAGUGGGGGAUAUUGCACAAUGGGCGAAAGCCUGAUGGAGCGGCGCGCGUGGGGGAUGAAGGCUUUCGAGUUGUAAACCUCUUUCGCUAUCGAACGGGUAGGUGGAGAAGAAGCGCCGGCUAACUACGUGCCAGCAGCCGCGGUAAUUC
rnacentral:rRNA from 1 species